rnacentral:rRNA from 1 species
AACGAACGCUGGCGGCAUGCCUAACACAUGCAAGUCGAACGAGAUCUUCGGGUCUAGUGGCGCACGGGUGCGUAACGCGUGGGAAUCUGCCCUUUGGUUCGGGAUAACAGUUGGAAACGACUGCUAAUACCGGAUGAUGACGAAAGUCCAAAGAUUUAUCGCCAGAGGAUGAGCCCGCGUAGGAUUAGCUAGUUGGUGUGGUAAAGGCGCACCAAGGCGACGAUCCUUAGCUGGUCUGAGAGGAUGAUCAGCCACACUGGGACUGAGACACGGCCCAGACUCCUACGGGAGGCAGCAGUGGGGAAUAUUGGACAAUGGGCGAAAGGCUGAUCCAGCAAUGCCUCGUGGGUGAUGAAGGCCUUAGGGUUGUAAAGCUCUUUUACCCGGGAUGAUAAUGACAGUACCGGGAGAAUAAGCUCCGGCUAACUCCGUGCCAGCCGCCGCCGUAA